AUGUGUAUUCUUUUUUGUAAGAUUUCUGAUUUCAAAAGUAACCAAAUGCCGCUAUGAUGAAUCAAGAGUUAAUAGAUAAUGGAAAUCGGAUGAUGGAUGAGGCUGAUCAAGCCAUUGAUAGGUCAAAAAAGGCUGUCCAUGACACAAUUAAUGUUGGAACCGAUGCGGCAGCAGUUCUGAAGGCACAGUUACAUUGUUAGACUAAUUUGAGAAAGAAAGUUGACAGCUUCUAAAAUUUAGGUGUGAGAAUUGAAGCAUCAUACUUCUUUUAUGUUUAGACUGAACAAAUGAGUAGAAUUGUUAAUGAGUUGGAUUCUGUCCAUUUCUCGAUCAAGAAGGCUUCUAAA